rnacentral:lncRNA from 1 species
AUAUAUAUAUAUAUAUAUAUAUAUAUAUAUAUAUAUAUAUAUAUAUAUGUGUGUUGGGUUUCCAUUUCCUGUUUUAUUUUGGUAGUCUCCCGGUUUCUGUUUUUGUUCUAGCUUCACUUCCGGUUUACGUCAUGUCACAGCUGUUCCUGCUUCACCCGGUCAUUGUACACACCUGCAGUUCAUCAGUAAUGAACUGCAGGUGAACUGUGUAUCCUGUUAUUGACCUGGUUCCGUACUUCUGACCAUCGUUCUCGCCUGAUCCUUACCGACCUUGUAAGUCUUCGCUCCGUUAUUGAACACUGCCUGUUUUAAGACCUGUCUAAGCCUGCCGAUUUGGAUUCUGAAAUCUGAGCCUUUUCCUGUAUUGACACCUGCCUGUUACCGGACCCGAGUAAGCUAUUUUCCUUGUGUGCUGAAAGACUGUUAACCUGUGUAUGACCCGGACUGCCUUGUGACUUAGUUUCUGGAAUAAACCCACCUUUUUUCAUCAUCCGCAUCGUGUACUGGUGCUGUGCAUUUGGGUCCUUUAUAUGCCGUUCGUGACAGAACGAUCUGGCCAGACUUGGACCCAGCCAGUGCCCAGCCUUCACCCAGGUUAGUUACCGCUGUUUUUUCUUUUUUCCUCUCUGUUCGGCUCCGCAUACAAAUCGCUCACCGGAGCAAUGGAUUUCUUUUGCCCGAGUUUACCGGAGGACAUCCGUGGAGAUCUCCGGACAUGAGCCAGGAAAUACACGGAGGCUCCCAGCCUCAAGGUUCGGCUCUCCGUAGUAAAACUGGCCAUUGAGAUACUGGAGGACGAGUACUGGUGGCAUGAGUACCCCGGAGUGCAGGCGUUUUUCGAUGGACUCCGACUAAUGCAGAGGGACUUGACACGCGCUUUGCGCGUAUCGGCUGGCCGCGUCUCCGUCACCGCUCCGGCGGUUCCUGUUCCAGUCGCCGCUCCGGCGGUUCCUGUUCCUGUCGCCGCUCCGGCGGUUCCUGUUCCUGUCGCCGCUCCGGCGGAUCACGUUCCUGUUCCCAUCGCUGCUCCGGCGGCUCCAGCCCAAGUUCCAGACGUCGCAGCCUCGGUUCACCACGCGGACCCCGGUACAGAGAUCCGGCCCACGCCGCUCCCAGCACCUCAGACGACGGACAGUCGCAGCCGCUCCGGACGGCGACGGCACGGUUCCAGGAUCCUGUGUCCCGAGGUCUCGGUCAUGGGGACCGAGCAGCCCUCUUCUCCGGCAGAGGAGCCUCUUGGUUCUCCGACUGACUGUGUCCCUCUGAUAGCAGGUAUCCCAGACAGCGUCGCCCGAUGGGUCCACCUCCUCUGCUCUCCUCCGGUUGCGUUCCUCUUCGCCCACCUCAUGAACACCGCCGAUUCGGCAGCAGACCAGGGCACGAGGGAACAAUUGUUUGGGGAGGCAGCCGCUCUCGUCUUGAGGGAACCUGCCCUGCGCGAGGUCCUGCAACUCCCAGGCCUGCGGCCAGCAGCCACACCAGAUCCUGCAUCUCAGUCAGGUGCUGUCUGUGAUCAUCACCUCUCUUGUCCCUAUAAUUUGGCUUAUUCUGUCUAUCCUGUCACACCUACCACCUCUAUCUAAUAUUUGGAAAUUCUAUCUGUUGUAUCUCUCUACUGUUUCCACUCUAUCUAAGCCCAUUGGGGGCCCCUUUAUUGACUGCUCGCCACUGGUUGGCCCCUGUUUUUUGAACAACAUUUGAACAUCUAUUUGCUGAACCCAACUUUGGACUCCCGUUUUAUGGUUUCAAUAUUAUUGGUUGCAAUUAACCAGUCUAGCUAUUUUAAGGAACUGAGACUUUCUCUGCUCUCACGCUCUGUCUGUCCUAUUUCUCUUACAGCAUAUCAUCUUAACUAUUGGCUAAAAAUGUUUACAUUACAGUAAAGAUUAAAAUUGGAAAACAUUCUGCUCAGUGAUUUAAGCUUUUAAGCAGAAAAACAAUUUAUUCAAUAUAACAUCUUAGAUAUUUAGACAUCUUAAACACAUGUAAUUUGUUUAAGAUGUUAAAUUAAUUUAAAAUAUUGCUCAUUCGUAACAAUCAAAAAAUUAUUAAUCUAAAACUGCUCAGC